AGCAGCCGCGGUAAUUCCAGCUCCAAUAGCGUAUAUUAAAGUUGUUGCAGUUAAAAAGCUCGUAGUUGAAUUUCGGGACCAAUUUGUUGGUCGUGCCUCGGUACGUACUGGUAUUAUUGGUUUCUCCCUUCUGAAGAACCUCGAUGUCAUUAAUUUGGUGUCGUGGGGAAUCAGGACUGUUACUUUGAAAAAAUUGAGUGUUUAAAGCAGGCAUACGCUUGAAUACAUUAGCAUGGAAUAAUGAAAUAGGACGUUUGAUUCUAUUUUGUUGGUUUCUAGGAUCGACGUAAUGAUUAAUAGGGAUAGUUGGGGGCAUUAGUAUCCAAUUGUCAGAGGUGAAAUUCUUGGAUUUAUUGAAGACUAACUACUGCGAAAGCAUUUGCCAAGGAUGUUUUCAUUAAUCAAGAACGAAAGUUAGGGGAUCGAAGACGAUCAGAUACCGUCGUAGUCUUAACCAUAAACUAUGCCGACUAGGGAUCGGAUGAUGUUAAUUUUUUAAUGUACUCAUUCGGCGCCUUAC
rnacentral:rRNA from 1 species